GGCUACUACAUCCAAGGAAGGCAGCAGGCGCGCAAAUUACCCAAUCCCGACACGGGGAGGUAGUGACAAUAAAUACUGAUACAGGGCCCUUUUGGGUCUUGUAAUUGGAAUGAGUACAAAUUAAUUUCCCUUAACGAGGAACAAUUGGAGGGCAAGUCUGGUGCCAGCAGCCGCGGUAAUUCCAGCUCCAAUAGCGUAUAUUAAAGUUGUUGCAGUUAAAAAGCUCGUAGUUGAACCUUGGGCCUGGCUGGCCGGUCCGCCUCACCGCGUGCACUGGUCCGGCCGGGCCUUUCCCUCUGGGGAGCCGCAUGCCCUUCACUGGGUGUGUCGGGGAACCAGGACGUUUACUUUGAAAAAAUUAGAGUGUUCAAAGCAGGCUUUUGCUCGAAUACAUUAGCAUGGAAUAAUAGAAUAGGACGUGUGGUUCUAUUUUGUUGGUUUCUAGGACCGCCGUAAUGAUUAAUAGGGACAGUCGGGGGCAUCAGU
rnacentral:rRNA from 1 species